UAUUUUUCUUUCCAAACCCCCACCUUUUAGCGUUGUCAAUUCUCCAACAGAAAUCAUCCUAAAAUAACUUCAUCUUGUAAGAACAAUAAACCAUGUAUAACUAGGUUGAGUACCUAGAGUUACAUUCAUGAAGUCUUCACUGUGAAAAUAUUUUGCCUGCGGUAAUUUAAAGAUAAGAGAAUUUAAAUAUGCAAAUAGUCUCCAAGCUUGUUUAGCAC
rnacentral:lncRNA from 1 species